ACAGAUGGCAGCAGUUACAACUGGCAUAUUCCCAGUUGGUGGCUUUAGCAUUUAGAAAUGAGCAUCUGUUCUUCUUCCCUAUUGCAAAGUGGUUUUAACUCAGAGGUGUUAAAAAUACGUAGACACAGAAGCAUGUGGAAUUGCCUUCCUGAGGCUAAACCACAAGCCUUGCAGCUGUGCUUCUCCCAGAUGCCUUUGCUACAUCCUGAAAUGCCCCAGGGGAAAAGGGGAUGCUGGAAGAGAUGCAGACUGCCCCCAACUUAGGUGGUUGCAGACUGCUCCCUCUGGUUCAGCUGCUGCUCAUUUUAUACCCUUCCACUGCCAACUUCACCUGCAAGAUCCAUAAUGCUGAAAACUUUAUUGUUGGGUCUUCUCUGUAUCAACACGGUAUCUGCUGGAUUCCCUACUGUGUUUCCACAUCAGGUUGGGUGCUCCUGAGCUGUGGACUGAAGGAGAAGUCAGAAGAUAAAUAGCUGAGGCAACAAAAGAUGACAGAUUGUGAAGUGCUCCCCGAAGCAAAGGCAAGCCUCUGGUUAAAAUAAUCUGUGUUUGAAGAUGUAAAAGGACAAUGCAGACAUAAAA
rnacentral:lncRNA from 1 species